GACCAAAGAGGGGGACCUUCGGGCCUCUUGCCAUCAGAUGUGCCCAGAUGGGAUUAGCUAGUAGGUGGGGUAACGGCUCACCUAGGCGACGAUCCCUAGCUGGUCUGAGAGGAUGACCAGCCACACUGGAACUGAGACACGGUCCAGACUCCUACGGGAGGCAGCAGUGGGGAAUAUUGCACAAUGGGCGCAAGCCUGAUGCAGCCAUGCCGCGUGUAUGAAGAAGGCCUUCGGGUUGUAAAGUACUUUCAGCGGGGAGGAAGGYGWUAAGGUUAAUAACCUCRKCRAUUGACGUUACCCGCAGAAGAAGCACCGGCUAACUCCGUGCCAGCAGCCGCGGUAAUACGGAGGGUGCAAGCGUUAAUCGGAAUUACUGGGCGUAAAGCGCACGCAGGCGGUCUGUCAAGUCGGAUGUGAAAUCCCCGGGCUCAACCUGGGAACUGCAUUCGAAACUGGCAGGCUAGAGUCUUGUAGAGGGGGGUAGAAUUCCAGGUGUAGCGGUGAAAUGCGUAGAGAUCUGGAGGAAUACCGGUGGCGAAGGCGGCCCCCUGGACAAAGACUGACGCUCAGGUGCGAAAG
rnacentral:rRNA from 1 species